UUGUAUUGCUGUACAAAAACCAAAAAGUUUACAGUUGUACUAGAUUGUUACGGUUGUGGUCAUGCUUGGUGAGACCACACUUGCGCCAUUCUCUCUGCUUGGCUUGUUCGCUUCCGGCCCAACCCGGCCCAUUCAUCUCUCUGUCCCUGUCCGUUCGUCUCGCCUCGAGCGCCGACCCCGAAGGCAGAUCGCCCGCUCCGCUCCCAAUCUCCACUGCCUCCACCCGCUUCGCUUGCUUUCUGUACAGUACCCACCCCCACCCGCCGUUGCUCAAGAGCGGCGCAUCGAUUCCGGCGACUAGACAUGCGGCGGCCUUCGGCGAGGUUGUAAAUCUUAUCGGUGUUUCAAUUGACUUCAAAGUGAAAUCAACAUACCAAUGGAAUAUCCCAACAUCACAGUGCUUCAA